UUAGUGUAAAUUGGUUAAAGGAAUUGAAUUCGGAUAUUGAUCAUCACGUCGUUUUUCACUAAUUGUUAUUAAAUGAGGUGUUAUUGUAUUCAUUGUGGGUGAUUAAUGCUCUGGUACGUGAAAGAUCCAUUAACUGGGAUCCUUUGCUCGACAGUACUCUUAUUUGGCACCCAAUUUUCAAUAUUCAUAACUUCAUUCAUAGGUAACCUAAUUAUCAUCUAACGUCACAUAUCUGGUGAACCUCUUGCAUUUUCUAUCAGUAUUUUCUCAAGUGUGGUGAUGCUAAAAAGUUUGAAAGUGGGGUUAUGAUCAUUCAUAAUAAGUCUUACAGUGAUGAAGAGGUCUGGCUCAGUCUAAUGGAUUAGGCAACAAAGCCCAAAAGAUUCAGAGCCGUGUGAGCAUGAUAGAAAGGGAGUGAAUGUGAAGUAUACUAAGCCAGCGAGAAGGAUAAGGAAACAAAAUUUGGCUGGAAAAUUGUUAUCGGUACCUUGACCUUCAUCACAUGUUGUGGGCCAGUAAAUGGAAUGUAGAUGGAGUUGGUGGUGAUUUUAUAUAUGUGCCAAUGCCUACGCUAAUUAUGGUGUUUGAUAUGAAAUCUGCUACCGCUAAUACAAAUGUAUGGUAAUGAGUAUAGCAUCGUCAGCUGUUAUCACAUUCUUAAACGAAGGCAUUCAGUGCUUGAUAUGCCGAUGAUUGACUAUGACUUGGCUAUGAUGCUUGGAGUAGUACUGGAGUUGCCCUCAACGUUAUGUUUGUUGAUUGGAUGGUCACCGCGCUACUAAUUAUUCUUUUUAUAAGUAACUUUGUGUAACAAUGGUGAUUUUUGAUCUUUUGACUUUACGCGUAAAUUGACUAACGAAUUUAAUUAAUGACUUAAUUGGCGGUAUGAAACUAAACAAUGUGAAUGGACGAUUAAAUUUAACUAGUAGUUGAGACCGGGUCAACAUGUGGAUCUUACCCACACUCAUAACCCACCCAAGACAACCCAACCUUAUCCCCACUCACCACCUACUCAUUCCAUCCAUACAUUCAUUCUAUCCUUUCUCUUUUUCUUUAAUUAAACACACACACACAUAUUGUUACCUCUCUCCCUCUUUCUCUCUAAAUUAUCACCAUCAUUUAUUGUUGGUGGUUGUGGAUUUGAGCUAGAUUAAUCAUCAGACUUGCCUGUACUUUACACAUAUCGUGACUUGGAUGGUUCCUUAUGAACCAUUACUACGAACUCACCAACCUAGUGUUGAUCUUGUUUAGUACACUUUUCAGGUAACUAAGAGAUUUCAAGAAGUGUCGGUUGAUUGAUGCUUGUGCUAGAACUUGGGUUUGGACUUACAUGGAUCCAGGAUUCAUUUGACCCCCCUUACUUGCAUUUUUGCAUUAUGUACUUGUUUGUUGAAGUUGGAUUCACCGAAUCCCUUUUAUUCAUAUAGUUCAUGUUCUACGAUAAACCCAUGCAUACGCUAUAUCUUUUCAGUAACAUUCUGAGCCAAGCUUGAGGUGUUACACUUUGUGUUUCCUUCUUAGUUGUUAAUAAAGAUGUCAUAUUUGAAAAUAUUGAUUGAUGGUACAUAUACACUCACAUCAACCCGGGCUUUACGCAGAGGUGUUGAAACAUUGAAAAUAGAAACAACCUUUAAAAAGGUAAUAACAAGUUUGAUUUCUAUAGUUGUUUUAUGAUGCUUGGAGCGCAUUAAGCAACAAUAUACCUUCUUUGAGACACAAAAAUAUUAGAUUUUGCUUUUGUUACAUGUUAUAUAAUAUAGGUAAAUAAUGCUUUGGAAAUUAAUACUUUGGUUUUGUUUAUUUUAUUUAACUUGGUUACUAAUUUGGAAAUAGUAUAUAAAUUGAUAGCUGAGAUUUUGCCAUGACACAUAGAAGUGGCAUUACUAUUUAGAAAAGCAUGUCAUAUAAAGAAAAUAGAAGUUUAACUAUUAUGAUACUAAAAAAUUCCACUACACAAAUAUACAUAUUUUCGGCUGAGUUCAUAGAAAAGUUUUGGAGGUGUGAAGGACAAGAAAAGGAGUGCGAUAGAGAAAUUAAGUUGUCGAAAGGAGGCGAAGGCGAAUGAUAAAAAACCAAGAGUCAGCUACAAAAUCACGGUAGAAUUAGCAACUUUUACACGAAUUUUCAAGUGGAUGAGAUUGGUCGUAAGCAAGAUAGUAUUUUUUGUAAAUUGUUUCUUUAUCUUUAUUUUCUUUUAUCUACGCUGAAGUGAACAUAUUUUCGCUUAUUUCUGACAUAUCACAUGCUGUUACAAAAACGAGUGAUUGAUAUGUUACACCACGUCUCUUGAGAAUUAUGAAGAUGACAAUGAGGGUCUUUAGGAGUUCUAAGCAACCAAGUAUGUUCCAGUUGAUUGAAGGAAGGAUGACAUCUGUUAAAAUCAAGGGGAUAGUGUGUGACGUAGAUUAUGUUUUCUGUGUUUGAGUUUGAAGUUUUCAUGUUUUGGAAAUCUGACAUCAUGUUGACUUUUGAAUUGUUGUUUUUAAAAAGUAUGUUGGUGUCAUUAUUGGCUUUUGGGUUUGUGUUUCGAAUGUUAAAGAUUAUGUGCUUCUAAACACUUUUUCCGAU